rnacentral:rRNA from 1 species
UACGAAGGGGGCUAGCGUUGCUCGGAAUCACUGGGCGUAAAGCGCACGUAGGCGGCUCUCUAAGUCAGGGGUGAAAUCCUGGAGCUCAACUCCAGAACUGCCUUUGAUACUGGAGAGCUUGAGUCCGGGAGAGGUGAGUGGAACUCCGAGUGUAGAGGUGAAAUUCGUAGAUAUUCGGAAGAACACCAGUGGCGAAGGCGGCUCACUGGCCCGGUACUGACGCUGAUGUGCGAAAGCGUGGGGAGCAAACAGG